UCUGCUCCACUACCAUCUCCAUCUUACAACGGUAUAUUUUCUGGUCUUAAACGGUUUAAUUGUUCUGGUUGUAAGAGCAUGAAGAAGUUGUUCCCUCUUGUCUUGCUGCCAAGCCUCGUAAACCUGGAAGAGAUUACAGUUAAAGGUUGUGAGAAAAUGGAGGAGAUAAUAGAUGGAACAAGACCAGAUGAAGAGGGGGUUAUGGGUGAAGAAACCAGCAGCAGCAAUAUCGAAUUCAAACUCCCAAAGUUAAGAAAUAUGGAAUUGAGAGGAUUACCAGAACUGAAAAGCAUUUGUAGUGCAAAAUUGAUUUGCGAUUCUAUCGAAGAAAUUGUAGUAAGAUAUUGCGAGAAGAUAGAGGAGAUAUUAAGUGGAACAAGAUCAGAUGAAG
rnacentral:lncRNA from 1 species